AGUGAACGCUGGCGGUAGGCCUAACACAUGCAAGUCGAACGGCAGCACAGUAAGAGCUUGCUCUUACGGGUGGCGAGUGGCGGACGGGUGGGGAAUACAUCGGAAUCUACUUUUUCGUGGGGGAUAACGUAGGGAAAAUUACGCUAAUACCGCAUACGACCUACGGGUGAAAGCAGGGGAUCUUCGGACCUUGCGCGAUUGAAUGAGCCGAUGUCGGAUUAGCUAGUUGGCGGGGUAAAGGCCCACCAAGGCGACGAUCCGUAGCUGGUCUGAGAGGAUGAUCAGCCACACUGGAACUGAGACACGGUCCAGACUCCUACGGGAGGCAGCAGUGGGGAAUAUUGGACAAUGGGCGCAAGCCUGAUCCAGCCAUACCGCGUGGGUGAAGAAGGCCUUCGGGUUGUAAAGCCCUUUUGUUGGGAAAGAAAAGCAGCAGGUUAAUACCCCGCUGUUCUGACGGUACCCAAAGAAUAAGCACCGGCUAACUUCGUG
rnacentral:rRNA from 1 species